GUGGAGGCUCGCGGCGGACCGCACUUCUCCCUUAGUAGGACGUCGUGACCCGUCCGGCCAUGUCUUACGGUCGCAGGGUGGAGCCUGUUCGUGGCGUGCUUGCGCGCUUUUCGGCAGACCCCCGCGUCCCGGCCAUGGUUUAUUCAACCGGUCGGUAUCGAAUGACAGUGUUCGGCCUCUCUUCGGCGGAGGGAACUCCUGCCAGUGAGCGCGAUUGGACCCUCGACAAGGUGCCGGGAUGUUCUCAGUCAAGGCGGGCUUCCGUCCGUCUGGCUGCUCCCGGCCCUGUUGGUCUUGGGACCUCUCGUUUGGCCUAUUUGCACUCGUCUACGGCGAACCAGUUUUGGGCUCUUGUCCGACCCGUCUUGAAACACGGACCAAGGAGUUCAGCGUGUACGCGAGUCAUUGGGUGAUUAAAACCUAAAGGCGUAAUGAAAGUGAAGGAAACUUCUCGUUUCUGAGGGAGGAUGAGUCGGUUACCCGCAAGGGGCCACUCCGCACUCCCGGGGCGUCUCUUUCUCAUUGCGAGUGGAGGCGCACCCAGAGCGUACACGCUGAUACCCGAAAGAUGGUGAACUAUGCCUGGCCAGGACGAAGCCAGGGGAAACCCUGGUGGAGGUCCGCAGCGAUUCUGACGUGCAAAUCGAUCGUCGGAGCUGGGUAUAGGGGCGAAAGACCAAUCGAACCAUCUAGUAGCUGGUUCCCUCCGAAGUUUCCCUCAGGAUAGCUUGCGCUCAUGUGAAAGAGUCUCAUCCGGUAGAGCGAAUGAUUAGAGGCCUUGGGGUCGAAACGACCUCAACCUAUUCUCAAACUCCAAAUAGAUGAGAACUCCGGCUUUCUUGAAACUAUUGUUUUGAAGCCGGGGGCUCGGAUCAGAGUGCCAAGUGGGCCAAUUUUGGUAAGCAGAACUGGCGCUGUGGGAUGAACCAAACGUCGAGUUAAGGCGCCUAAAUCGUCGCUCAUGUGAAACCAUGAAAGGCGUUGGUUGCUUAAGACAGCAGGACGGUGGCCAUGGAAGUCGGAAUCCGCUAAGGAGUGUGUAACAACUCACCUGCCGAAGCAACUAGCCCUGAAAAUGGAUGGCGCUGUAGCGACGUUGCCUAUACUCGACCGUCAACGGCAAAGACUGGCUAGGCGGGCAACCGCUUGGCCGUUACGCCUUGACGAGUAGGAGGGCCGCGGCGACGUGCGCAGAAGGGCCUGGGCGUGAGCCUUCCUGGAGCCGUCGUCGGUGCAGAUCUUGGUGGUAGUAGCAAAUACUCCAGCGAGGCCCUGGAGGACUGAUGUGGAGAAGGGUUUCUUGUGAACAGCUGUUGCACAAGAGUCAGUCGGUCCUAAGCCCUAGGAGAAAUCCGAAGCGAUGGGUUGCCGUUCAUUAUUUUGAUGGCACCCGUUCGGGCGAAAGGGAAUCCGGUUCCUAUUCCGGAACCUGGCAGUGGAACCGUUCCAAUUCGGGCCCUCUGAGGACUCGUCAGGGCAACCUGAAUAGACCCGGAGACGCCGACAGGAGGUUGGGGGAGAGUUGUCUCUUCUCUAUAAGCGAUCGAGUUCCCUGGAAACUUCUAGCAAGGAGAUAGGGUUUGGAUCGCGAAGAGCACUGCAGUUACGGCAGUGUCCCAAUCUUCCUCUCGGACCUUGAAAAUCCGGGUGAGGGCCACGAGGAACCCCACGCCAGACCGUACCCAUAUCCGCAGCAGGUCUCCAAGGUGCAAAGCCUCUAGUCGAUAAAAAAAUGUAGGUAAGGGAAAUCGGCAAAUCCCGAUCCGUAACUUCGGGACAAGGAUUGGCUCUGAGGAUCGUGACGCGCCGGGCUUGAGUUAAGAAGCGGUGGUGUCAACGAGCCGGGCCUGGGCGAGGAGAUGGGGUCGUCUCACGACGUACUCCCGGAACCGAGCUCGGUCCCGUGCCUUGACCAUCCGUGGACUUCUCUUGCUGCGAGCCGGCAGCUGCCCAGUCGUCGGCCCUCGGGUCGGAGGACGGGCUGCCGUGUCUCUUCGGCCGUCAUUCAACGAUCAACUCAGAACUGGCACGGACCGUGGGAAUCCGACUGUCUAAUUAAAACAAAGCAUUGUGAUGGCCCUAACGGGUGUUGACACAAUGUGAUUUCUGCCCAGUGCUCUGAAUGUCAACGUGAAGAAAUUCAAGCAAGCGCGGGUAAACGGCGGGAGUAACUAUGACUCUCUUAAGGUAGCCAAAUGCCUCGUCAUCUAAUUAGUGACGCGCAUGAAUGGAUUAACGAGAUUCCCUCUGUCCCUAUCUACUUUCUAGCGAAACCACGGCCAAGGGAACGGGCUUGGAAAAAUCAGCGGGGAAAGAAGACCCUGUUGAGCUUGACUCUAGUCUGGUACUGUAAGGAGACAUGAGAGGUGUAGCAUAAGUGGGAGACGGUUCGCCGUCGACAAUGAAAUACCACUACUCUCAUCGUUUCCUUACUUACUCGAUGAAGCGGAAGGCGUCGGCCUUGGCAUCACGCCUCGGUCCGCACGGUCUUCUUGCGCCAAACGCAAAGGGUUGCCGGGCGCCGGUGACGAAGCGGGGCGGACGUUGGGGUGCCCCCGGCGGGUUUCGGCUUGUCGGGGCCCUCUUCUCCUCCCGUGGAUGUUGUCGCGCUGUCCCGGCAACAUACUCCCUAGCGUGAUCCGAUUCGAGGACACUACCAGGCGGGGAGUUUGACUGGGGCGGUACAUCUGUCAAAUAAUAACGCAGGUGUCCUAAGGUCAGCUCAGCGAGGACAGAAACCUCGCGUAGAGCAAAAGGGCAAAUGCUGGCUUGAUCCCGACGCUCAGUGGGCGUAGGGACUGCGAAAGCACGGCCCAUCGAUCCUUUUGGCUUGAAGAGUUUUCAGCAAGAGGUGUCAGAAAAGUUACCACAGGGAUAACUGGCUCGUGGCAGCCAAGCGUUCAUAGCGACGUUGCUUUUUGAUCCUUCGAUGUCGGCUCUUCCUAUCAUUGCGAAGCAGAAAUCGCCAAGCGUCGGAUUGUUCACCCGCCAAUAGGGAACGUGAGCUGGGUUUAGACCGUCGUGAGACAGGUUAGUUUUACCCUACUGAUGAAACCGUCAUCGCUGUAGUAAUCCUGCUUAGUACGAGAGGAACCGCAGGUUCGGACAUUUGGUACACGCACUCGGUCGACAGGCCGGUGGUGCGAUGCUACCAUCCGUGGGAUUAAGCCUGAACGCCUCUAAGGCCGAAUCCCGACUAUUAGCGAUGAUAAGUUCGAAGUACCGUGAGUCGAAAGGCUCAAGACCAUGUGUCUUUGCUAGGCGGCGUUGCCUUCGGGCUUCCGUCGUCGCACGAGCCCUGUGGAAGGGCUGCCCUUGUGUGGCCAGGCGUCAGUACACUCUGUCCGCCCUGGCCCGGGCCCCUCGUAGCAGUGGUUAUCUCCCUCUCGGGAGUUCGAGUCGGUA
rnacentral:rRNA from 1 species